UACGUAGGGGGCAAGCGUUGUCCGGAUUUAUUGGGCGUAAAGAGCGUGUAGGCGGCCACGCAGGUCCGUUGUGAAAACUGGAGGCUCAACCUCCAGCUGUCGACGGAAACCGUGUGGCUAGAGUCCGGAAGAGGAGAGUGGAAUUCCGUGGUGUAGCGGUGAAAUGCGCAGAUAUCAGGAAGAACACCGAUGGCGAAGGCAGGUCUCUGGGCUGACACUGACGCUCAUGCACGAAAGCGUGGGGAGCAACAGG
rnacentral:rRNA from 1 species